GACGAACGCUGGCGGCGUGCCUAAUACAUGCAAGUCGAACGCAGUGGGGACGGGUGCGUAACACGUGGGUCACCUCCCAUCAGAGGGGAUAACACUUGGAAACAGGUGCUAAACCGAUACUGAUUGAUGGACCCGAGGUGCAUUAGCUAGUUGGUGGGGGAAAGGCCCACCAAGGCCACGAUGCAUAGCCGCACUGAGAGGGUGAUCGGACAAACUGGAACGUAGACACGGCCCAGACUCCUACGGGAGGCAGCAGUAGGGAAGAUUGGGCAAUGGACGAAAGUCUGACGGAGCAACGCCGCGUGAGUGAAGAAGGUUUUCGGAUCGUAAAACUCUUUGGUUAGAGAAGCGGUAUCUAACCAGAAAGCCACGGCUAACUACGUGCCAGCAGCCGCGGUAAUUC
rnacentral:rRNA from 1 species